UACAUGGGGUGCAAACGUUGCUCGGAAUUAUUGGGCGUAAAGCGCGCGUAGGCGGUUACUUAAGUCGGAUGUGAAGCCCUCGGCUUAACCGAGGAAGUGCACCCGAAACUGAGUAGCUAGAGUACGAAAGAGGGUCGCGGAAUUCCGGUGUAGAGGUGAAAUUCGUAGAUAUCGGGAGGAACACCGGUGGCGAAGGCGGCGACCUGGGUAGAUACUGACGCUGAGGUGCGAAAGCGUGGGAGCAACAAC
rnacentral:rRNA from 1 species